GUAGGACGGAUAAUCGCAGCUGCUAUUGCCGAAAGGACGCAGGUGAGGAAAGUCCGGGCUUCACAGGGCAGGAUGCCGGAUAACGUCCGGUGGAGGCGACUCUAAGGAUAGUGCAACAGAAAUAUACCGCCAGCUUAUGAUGGUAAGGGUGGAAGGGCAGUUUAAGAGACUACCGCCCGGCUGGUAACAGCCGGGGCAUAUGUAAACCCCAUCCGAAGCAAGACUGAAUAGAAAGCAUAUGGUGGCCCGCCAGCUUUCGGGUAGGUCGCUUGAUCUUAUCGGCAACGAUAAGGCUAGAUAGAUGAUUAUCGAAACAUAACCCGGCUUACGGUCCUGCUUGA
rnacentral:RNase_P_RNA from 1 species